GACGACGCUGGCGGCGUGCCUAAUACAUGCAAGUAGAACGAGUUGCGAACGGGUGAGUAACGCGUGGUAACCUGCCUCAUAGCGGGGGAUAACUAUUGGAAACGAUAGCUAAUACCGCAUACCAUCCGAUGUGCCCAGAUGGGAUUAGCUAGUAGGUGGGGUAAUGGCUCACCUAGGCGACGAACCCUAGCUGGUCUGAGAGGAUGACCAUCCCCACUGGAACGUAUACACGGUCCAUACUCCUACGGAAGGCAGCAGUGGGUAAUAUUGCACAAUGGGCGAAAGCCUGAUGCAGCCAUGCCGCGUGUGUGAAGAAGGCCUUCGGGUUGUAAAGCACUUUCAGCGAGGAGGCGUUACUCGCAGAAGAAGCACCGGCUAACUCCGUGCCAGCAGCCGCGGUAAUAC
rnacentral:rRNA from 1 species